rnacentral:misc_RNA from 1 species
CUCAACCUAAAUCAAGAAACUCACUUGAGACUCCCACAUUAUUACAAUAUUCACACCAUAAUUCAGGCCAAUCUUGCCUCGUUAUUCUAGAUAGUGGGGGGAAACCAUCUUAAAAAGCAUAUGGAAAACUAUUAAAAAUUAAUUUGACAUGGGUAAUGGGUUGAUGACAUAUUCUCCAAAACAGUUGAGAGCUUAAAAUCAGUUUCAAACAGUCGUUUAAUAUCCAAAAACAGCUUCUUGAGAAAUUGCAGUUUCCAUCUAAAUACUAAACAGACACUCGUUUAACAUUAAUGGAAUGCUCAGAAGAUAUAAAUCAA